GGGCGAAUGGUUUAGUGGUAUAAUACUCCCUUAGCAUGUUCUCUCUGGAGACCUCGCAUCUGGGAGUGGUCCAGGGUUCGAUUCCCUGUUCGUCCA
rnacentral:tRNA from 1 species